UUUCUGUGGGCUGUGCGCUCCCUUGUCGCUGUCCAGAAGCUAUUUCUACAUCCAGUUGCCUACAUCUCCCAAUCGUGAAGUCAUAACACAUGCACACAAAUGAGCACAACACGCUGUACAAAUGUGUUAUUAUUACUGCUAUUGUUGUUGGUUUGCUUUUCAAGCUUCACCACAGAACUAAUGACCAACCAAGUAGGUGGGACCUGGGUGGUUCUCCUUCCUUCUCUGGAGGGGAUUCCCGAGGCGCAGGCGCUGAUGACCAGGAGGCUGUGCUUUGUCCAGGGGCUCCAGGGCCUGAGGACGGGCGAUGUGGGGAGGGGUUUCUGAGAAGAAUCUGUGCAAAUUGCCGCUGUGAGGGCUGUGAGACGAAAUGAGGCUCGUAAAAUACCUCGAGUCUCUCUCGUCCUCUUCCUCUGAGAGAGCUGAUGAAAGAAGGAAGAGAGAAGAAACCGACUUUGACGCCCGCCUCGCCCACCCAACACCCCCCACCCCAACCCAGCUUUAGGGAAGCUGGAGGGACUCGUGGAGGCAGAGCUGGAUCCAAAGGCACUCUAUUGCUGGCUUUGAAGAAGCAAGCUGCCACUUUGGAGAGGCCCACAUGGCAAGAAACUGAGGGUGGCCUCUGGGAAAUAACCAAAAAGAGACUGAUACCUUCAGUCCAACAACCUUAAAGGAACUGAAUCCUGCCAGCAAUUUAUGGAGCAAGAUUAGAAGCAGGUCUUUCCCCAACUGAGCCUUCAGAUGAGAUCACUGGCAACACCCUGAUUGCAGCUUCAUGGGAGACCCUGAAGCAGAGGAUCCAGCUAAGCUUCUCCCAGGUUUCUGACUGACAGAAAUCAUGAAAUAAUGUGUGUUGUUUUGAGCUACUAGUUUGGGGGUAAUUUUAUAUAGUGAGAGAUAAUUAAUACACUGUGCCAGAAUUAAGUGUCAGAUCCUUAGUAACAGAGAUACCCCUAUGUCCCUUCGAAAUCAUUUGUGUGUGUUGACAUGAGGUGUCCUCUUAAAUGUGGGCUCAAGGCAGAGUCCCUUCUUGCCUGGGUGUACUAAUAGUACCAGGACUAGUUCAUCAGUCUUCAAUUUUUUUGCUUGCAUGUUCCCUAAAAACAUUUUGGAAAACUAUGUGACCUUCUGCAUAUCUUUUACUUCAUAUCUAAUUUCUUUCCUUGUAAAUUUAAAUAACUACAAACAGUGUAAAAAUUUUAGUAUCUUAUAAAUAUCAACAUUUAAAAAUAAGACUGUUUAUAUUACUGUUUUAAAUGUAACCAAUAGAACCUAAAUGCCAUAGCUUUUUUUUUUUUUUUGACUGUACUGCGAGGCAUGUGGGAUCUUAGUUCCCCAACCAGAGAUUGAACCCGCGCCCUCAGCAGUGGAAGAGCAGAGUGUUAACCACUGGACCGCCAGUGAAGUCCCAAUGCCAUAGCUUUUUGUUAUUCAACAUCAUCCUUUUGAAAAACAUAUGAAUAGGGACUUCUCAGGGGGUCUAGUGGUUGAGACUUCGCCUUCCAAUGCAGGAUUACAGGUUCAAUCCCUGAUCGGAGAGCUAGGAUCUCACAUGCCUCAGGCCAAAACCCAAAAAACAUAAAACAGAAGCAAUACUGUAACAAAUUCCAUAAAGACUUUUAAAAAAUGGUUCACAUCCAAAAAACAAAUCUUUAAAAAAAAACAGAUAGAACAUAUGAAUAAAGUCUUCUUCAACAGCUGGACAUUUUA